rnacentral:tRNA from 1 species
AUGGAGGUAGCUCAGUUGGUAGAGUGCUUUCUUAGCAUGUAUAGAGUACUGGGUUCAAACCCCAGCACUGCAUA